UGGGGUAUAUUGCACAAUGGGCGAAAGCCUGAUGCAGCAACGCCGCGUGAGCGAUGAAGGCCUUCGGGUCGUAAAGCUCUGUCCUCAAGGGAGAUGACGGUACCUGACUAAGAAGCCCCGGCUAACUACGUGCCAGCAGCCGCGGUAAUACGUAGGGGGCAAGCGUUAUCCGGAUUUACUGGGUGUAAAGGGAGCGCAGACGGAACUGCAAGUCUGAUGUGAAAGCCCGGGGCUCAACCGCGGGACUGCAUCGGAUACUGUGGAUCUGGAGUGCCGGAGGGGCAAGCGGAAUUCCUGGUGUAGCGGUGAAAUGCGUAGAUAUCAGGAGGAACACCGGCGGCGAAGGCGGCUUGCUGGACGGCAACUGACGUUGAGGCUCGAAAGCGUGGGGAGCAAACAGG
rnacentral:rRNA from 1 species